rnacentral:rRNA from 1 species
UGUUUCGGCUAGGGGGCCAUCCCGGCUUACCAACCCGAUGCAAACUGCGAAUACCGGAGAAUGUUAUCACGGGAGACACACGGCGGGUGCUAACGUCCGUCGUGAAGAGGGAAACAACCCAGACCGCCAGCUAAGGUCCCAAAGUCAUGGUUAAGUGGGAAACGAUGUGGGAAGGCCCAGACAGCCAGGAUGUUGGCUUAGAAGCAGCCAUCAUUUAAAGAAAGCGUAAUAGCUCACUGGUCGAGUCGGCCUGCGCGGAAGAUGUAACGGGGCUAAACCAUGCACCGAAGCUGCGGCAGCGAUAUGAAAAUAUUGUUGGGUAGGGGAGCGUUCUGUAAGCCUGCGAAGGUGGCCUGUGAGGGUUGCUGGAGGUAUCAGAAGUGCGAAUGCUGACAUAAGUAACGAUAAAGCGGGUGAAAAGCCCGCUCGCCGGAAGACCAAGGGUUCCUGUCCAACGUUAAUCGGGGCAGGGUGAGUCGACCCCUAAGGCGAGGCCGAAAGGCGUAGUCGAUGGGAAACGGGUUAAUAUUCCCGUACUUGGUGUUACUGCGAAGGGGGGACGGAGAAGGCUAUGUUGGCCGGGCGACGGUUGUCCCGGUUUAAGCGUGUAGGCUGACUUUCCAGGCAAAUCCGG